AAAGGUAUAAAAGCAUCACUUACAUCUUUGUACUGCAUCAAGGCUUUUUGACUUUGUCAGGAACAUAUAUUUAACCAAAAUGUAUUUAUUUUUCACUAAAUUAUACAUGCUCUGGUCAAGAUUAUAACAGCUAUGGUGUUUGGGCCAUGUCCCAGUUAUAAAAUAAGAUUAUAAAACAACAAUUAGUACACAAACUGAAAUCAUAAACACACUGUCAGCUCACUAACACUGUCUCUCCCUGAGAGGGCAAGCAAAACAAACACCCAAAGGCAAGGCAUGCCCUGACAUGCAAGGCAAGAUAAGACCAAUUCAGUUUAGAGCUGGUGACUUGCAGAGUGCACAUCUCCAGUUUGCAGCCUGUGAAAAUGGAUCAUGUCUUAGCUGAAAAUGAGGCAGAGGACACAGAGCAGUACAGUGAUAUGGAUGAGCAGGUAUCUGAGGAGGAAGACGUUGUGGAGUAUCAAUCAGACAUAGACACACCUGAUGAGUCUGAGAAGGUCACCGGUGCUGAAGCUGCUCCAGUAGUAAAAUCCGAAAUUGAGAACAUCUGUUGGAGCUCAGUACCUCCUGAUGUACAUGGCAGGACAGCUGCUGAAAAAAUCAGAAAGACCCCUGGCAUCACAAGGUUUGCUGUGACGAGAGUAAGUGACAUCAAGACUUGUUUUGACCUGUUUAUGCCAUUGUCACUAAAAAAAGUCAUCAUUGCUAUGACAAACCUGGAGGGGAAAAAAGUCUACAGUGACAUGUGGCAUGACAUUGAUGAGGAACAGCUGGAUGCUUAUAUCGGUGUUCUUCUUCUUCUGGGAGUAUACAGAUCUAGCAAUGAGGCCACUGAAAGUCUCUGGGAUGCGUCGACAGGCAGAAAUAUUUUCCGGGCAACAAUGUCACUUAAGACCUUUCAAAUGAUAACGAGAGUCCUCAGAUUUCACAACAAAGUCACUAAAGCAAGAUCUGACAAGCUUGCUCCCAUAAGAGAUGUCUGGGAGAGAUGGGUCAAGCGCCUUUCGCUGAUGUUCAACCCUGGGCCAGAGGUGACAGUAGAUGAACGUUUUGUCCCGUUCCGUGGAAGAUGCCCCUUCCGGCAAUACAUGCCCAGUAAACCAGGCAAAUACGGUAUAAAAAUCUGGGCGGUCUGUGACGCAAAAACCAGCUUUGCAUGGAAUCUACAGAUUUACACAGGCAAGCCUGCGGGUGGCAUCCCUAAGAACCAAGGAAAACGUGUAGUGCUCGAUAUGACUGCUGGACUCCAGGGUCACAAUAUCACAUGUGCCAGUUUUUUUACCAGCUAUGACCUUGGGCAAGAGCUUCUCAAGAGGAAACUUACCAUGGUGGGUGCAAUAAGAAAACAUAAACCUGAACUGCCCACUGAAAUUUUGCAGGUGAAGGACAGGGCUCCACUUUCUUCAAAAUUUGCUUUUACUGACACCACCACUAUUGUUUCAUAUUGUCCAAACAAAAGCCAAAAUGUGAUACUUAUGUCCACUUUUCACAAAGAUGCAGCUGUGUCACCAGGAAGUGACAAAAAGCCCAUGAUUAUCCUGGACUAUAAUAAAAACAAAGGAGGCGUGGACAACCUGGACAAGCUAACUGCCACCUACACAUGCCAGCGAAUGACCAGGAGAUGGCCAAUGGUUGUGUUUUAUAAUAUCCUGGAUGUGUCUGCAUACAAUGCAUUCGUGUUGUGGACCCACAUCCACCUAGGGUGGAACUCAACCAAAAAACACAGGCGGAGACUGUUUCUUGAGCAGCUAGGAAAUUCUCUUGUCAAGGAGCACAUACAGCGAAGGGAACGAGUGCCCCGAGACCCAGCCGCCGCGGCCUUAGUCAGACAGCUGCAGAGCUCACCCAGCACUCCCUCUGCGCCGUCAGCAAGACGAAGAACAUCAGGGCCGGCAUCCUCCUCAGCCAGCCCUUCCUCAAAAUCCACCAGCACAGCCCCACUGAGGCCACCAGAUUCUAAAAGGAAGAGGUGUCAGGUCUGCCCUAGCAAUAAGGACAGAAAGACAAACACAUUGUGCUUCCACUGCAAAAAAUAUCUUUGUAAAGAACACACUGAAAGUGUCUCUUUUUGCCCGACAUGCAUCUAGAGGAUUCCUUCAGAGAUCCUGUGCAGUCUGUGCCUUGAUGGGUCAGAGCUUGAUGGGACCUACACAAUAUUAGGCAGGUGGUUUUAAUGUUAUGGCUCGCUCUCAUAAGAAAAGGACCCAGUUUGUACCUUUGCUUGUCACUGCUGCUGAUUGAUUCACCUGAACCUAGAGCCGAUCACAAAAUAGUGCCAGUCAGCCUUUACAGAGGCAUCAAAUUUAAUAGAUUUCUUUAAGAAAAGAUAAAAUUACUGACUUGCGUAACACUCAGCUUCCAAAAUGUUUAAAAAUUAGAGGCUGACACAUAGUAGAUAUAUGUUAGUGCACAUGAUCGUGUCAAUCGUACUGAGAAAUGCACCUACAUGCAUCUAACCGCACACAUGUACACAUGCAUGUUCUUGCACACUUUUUUUUGGAACUGCCACUUCAUUUCUAUUGGUUUCAUUUGCUUGACUGAUUUGUUUGUUUGACCUUGCAAAUCUACUUUUUGUAUUAUUACUUUUCUGCUAUUUUGUAUUUGUAUUGACCUUGCUGUCGUGUUGGGGUUGGCACCAACCCGUUUGUAAGUUUAAAAUGCAUAAAAGCACCACAGAAAUUUGUGUACUGCAUCAAGGCUUUUUGACUUGGUCAGGAAGCUCUAUUUAAACAAAAUGAUUAUUAUUUUUCAUUAGGCAAGGCAUGCCCAGACGUGCAAGGCAAGAUGAGACCAAUUCAGUUUAUAUAAUUCUUUUGAGGUUUAUUUCACCAUUAUUUUUUAAUUGAAAACGAGAGGUAUGUUGUCAAGAGGUCCAGAAAGCCGCACCAAAAAUAUCAAAACCAAUCUUUUCAUGGAUAAGGAAGCCUAACAAGGUAACCAAGAGAUAAGAAACACAUUGGAUAAUAAUUAUUUUGUGGCUGAUUUAAGGCACGAGUCCGCACCGGCGCGUUUAUCAUGAGAUAGGAACAGAAAGCUAACAGGACAAAGGUACCGAGUGAGUGACUGGUCCUUGUGGGAGAUGUGGAUGAUACUGUUGUAACUGUGCUACGUUCGUACGCAUUAGUGAUAGGUCUUUGAGUAGCGCCAUUGAUUUGCGUCAGUGUUGCCCAUAAGGAAAGUUUAAUCUAACUCCAAGAGGAUUACGGAACAAUUCUCCGACGUUUUGUUAGAGAUCAAGUAGUAACUGGGACCACAUUUUUAGAAUAUUCUUAUGUGGAAUGCGCUUGAUUGUCUCUGCAUAAUGGCAGUGCACCUACUGCCAGUGGUAUGCGCAUUAUGUCAGCAGGCAGGAUCACUGCACUCACACCAAGUGGCAGAAAUACUCCAGUUUCCGCGGUUUCAGCUUCAAUGCCACAAAACUGUUGUGCGAUUGAUUGUACAAAUUGACUUAAGGAUUAUGAGGUGUCUUGGUACAGACUGCCGAAAACUAAAGUAUCGGAUGUGAAUUGGUCACAUAUGGCCAGUACCUGAUCAGUCACAUAGUCUGGAUCUGUUUCCAGGUGCCCCGUAAGUCUUCAUGUUGACUGUUUAUCAGUGUGUCAUUUGGUUUUCUCACUAGAUGUCAUGUUCAGUCAGCCAUGAGUCUGGUUUUUGGACCCCCCCUUUUUACAGUGCAAUAGCGAGUUUGUUGCUUUUUACCACCUUGCAGUUAGACUGCCCUCCAGAGGCUGCGCAGUGCGACGAGGUGUGAUGUCUAUCAGUAGGUGGCGCAGAGCGAGGGGCUGCCACUACAGACAGUGCUCAGGAUUUUAUGGGUGCUCAGAAUGACUUGUAGCCGUACAGCUAGUUGUGGGAUUUCUGCGUAAGACAUAACGGUCAGGCUGCCUGCAGAUAAGAUGAUGUUUUUGAAUGUUAUCCUUUGAGUGCAGAAUGCUGCACUAUUGCACAAUGCCGUUUUCCUACCAAUGAGGGGCAUGAUUAGAUUGAAAUGUGUUGAAAAUGUUCAGGACCAUUGGAAGGCUUCUAUUAAUCUGAAAUUAUUUAUCAGGUGGAGGGAUGAGGCUUGAUGUCUGAAGUCUGCUGCCUUUUUCUAGGACCUGAGGGACAGAACCUUGAGGAAAUUUUGCAGCAUUUCCCGAAACUCAUCCAUGGAGGUGCCCCUGCUUGGCUUGUUGAAGAGGGCCAUCUCAUGUCGAAGCAUGGAGUCUGGACUCCCAUCCCGCCUUGAGCCAUCUUCAAGUCCACACUUUAUAACCACUGACUUCUCCUUCCAAACUCCACUGUACACCUGCAAGACAAUACCGUUCCAGAGAAUAAUGAAAUUCAUGUCUCUUGUGUUUUUGUUGAAGUGAUUUUCAUGUUCAUUUGAAUGCUGAUUGGAAAGCAAACUAUGCAGAUUUAACAUCCUUGACUCAUCAGGAUUAAUGCAACAGAUUUCCAAUAUGUGAUGAUGUACAACUGAAUGUAACCAUGAGAAGCAUGUCAAAUUGCCAGGAUAUGAAACUAGUAGCUAGAGUCCCCGGUGUGAUAGUAGGUAAAGUUCUCUACCAAGAAUGUGGGUGGUUAAUGCCCUGUGUCUUAUUAUUAAUUCUAGUUUGCCUAUUUCGAAUUUUUUUCUUUUUAAUGUCUCUAAUGCAUUUUUAAAAGCCUGUGAUUAAAGCUUCCAUGGGCUACCUGAUGAGUAGGCGAGGAGGACAAGCAGUGCUGCAGUUUCAGAGUGUGCUUUUCGCAGAGAGGCUUGCAGGAUGAUCCAGAGAUGAUGCCCCUCUUGUAAUGAUCACACUGGAGCAAAGAGAAUGAACAAAGGAAGCAGAGCCAAGUCACCCCCAAUAUCCUCAGUAAGACGCCCAAAACUUAAAAGCAUUAUACAUGGGAUUAGUGCUGGGAAAACCCCAAAUCUAGUUUUUCAAUGUAUUCAAUUAAACCAUGUACCAUGUAUCAUUAAACCAAUAUCUUUAUUGUCAUUGUACAACAAAGCUGUACACUGGGUAAUGAAGAGGAUAAUGACCACCAUUUAAACCCAAUUAAAUAAACCUCCUCCCCCAU